rnacentral:rRNA from 1 species
GAUAAACGCUGGCGGCAUGCCUAAUACAUGCAAGUYGAACGGGGGUGCUUGCACCUCAGUGGCGAACGGGUGAGUAACACGUAUCUAACCUACCUUAUAGCGGGGGAUAACUUUUGGAAACGAAAGAUAAUACCGCAUGUAGAUCUUAUUAUCGCAUGAGAAAAGAUCAAAAGAACCGUUUGGUUCACUAUGAGAUGGGGAUGCGGCGUAUUAGCUAGUAGGUGAGAUAAUAGCCCACCUAGGCGAUGAUACGUAGCCGAACUGAGAGGUUGAUCGGCCACAUUGGGACUGAGAUACGGCCCAGACUCCUACGGGAGGCAGCAGUAGGGAAUUUUUCACAAUGGACGAAAGUCUGAUGAAGCAAUGCCGCGUGAGUGAUGACGGCCUUCGGGUUGUAAAGCUCUGUUGUAAGGGAAGAAAAAAUAAAGUAGGAAAUGACUUUAUCUUGACAGUACCUUACCAGAAAGCCACGGCUAACUAUGUGCCAGCAGCCGCGGUAAUACAUAGGUGGCAAGCGUUAUCCGGAUUUAUUGGGCGUAUAGGGUGCGUAGGCGGUUUUGCAAGUUUGAGGUUAAAGUCCGGAGCUCAACUCCGGUUCGCCUUGAAAACUGUUUUACUAGAAUGCAAGAGAGGUAAGCGGAAUUCCAUGUGUAGCGGUGAAAUGCGUAGAUAUAUGGAAGAACACCUGUGGCGAAAGCGGCUUACUGGCUUGUUAUUGACGCUGAGGCACGAAAGCGUGGGGAGCAAAUAGGAUUAGAUACCCUAGUAGUCCACGCCGUAAACGAUGAGUACUAAGUGUUGGGGUAACUCAGCGCUGCAGCUAACGCAUUAAGUACUCCGCCUGAGUAGUAUGCUCGCAAGAGUGAAACUCAAAGGAAUUGACGGGGACCCGCACAAGUGGUGGAGCAUGUGGUUUAAUUCGAAGCAACACGAAGAACCUUACCAGGGCUUGACAUCCAGUGCAAAGCUAUAGAGAUAUAGUAGAGGUUAACAUUGAGACAGGUGGUGCAUGGUUGUCGUCAGUUCGUGCCGUGAGGUGUUGGGUUAAGUCCCGCAACGAACGC